rnacentral:misc_RNA from 1 species
GAAAUGCGAUAAGUAAUGUGAAUUGCAGAAUUCAGUGAAUCAUCGAAUCUUUGAACGCACCUUGCGCUCCUUGGUAUUCCUUGGAGCAUGCCUGUUUGAGUAUCAUGAAAUCUUCAAAGUAAAUCUUUUGUUAACUCAAUUGGUUUCUACUUUGGUAUUGGAGGUCUUUGCAGCUUCACACCUGCUCCUCUUUGUUCAUUAGCUGGAUCUCAGUGUUAUGCUUGGUUCCACUCGGCGUGAUAAGUUAUCUAUCGCUGAGGACACUGUAAAAGGUGGCCAAGGUAAAUGCAGAUGAACCGCUUCUAAUAGUCCAUUGACUUGGACAAUACUUUUAUGAUCUGAUCUCAAAUCAGGUAGGACUACCCGCUGCACUUAAGC